rnacentral:tRNA from 1 species
GGUGGCUCAGUAGCAGAGCACUUGUCUUGCAUGCAUGAGGCCCUGGGUUCGAUUCCUCAGCACCA